rnacentral:rRNA from 1 species
UACAGAGGGGGCGAGCGUUGUUCGGAUUCACUGGGCGUAAAGGGUGCGCAGGCGGCCAAGUGUGUGAGGCGUGAAAGCCUGGAGCUUAACUCCAGAAUUGCACCUCAAACUACAUGGCUAGAGCAUUGGAGAGGGUAGCGGAAUUCACGGUGUAGCAGUGAAAUGCGUAGAUAUCGGGAGGAACACCAGUGGCGAAGGCGGCUUUCUGGACCAAUACUGACGCUGAGGUGCGAAAGCGUGGGGAGCAAACAGG